CAUUAUCGGAGACUCACAAAUGCUGAAUGGAAACACGUCGAGGAGAGACUUCAGAAAAGACUUAGUAGUUGGAAAGGUAAACUGUUGUCUCUAGGUGGAAGAUUGGUCCUCAUAAAUUCAGUACUUAGUAAUAUGGUACUAUAUAUGAUUUCCUUCUUCCAGUUGCCGAAAGGAGUUUUACAUAGAUUGGAUUAUUUCCGAUCAAGAUUCUUUUGGCAAGGAGAUAGCGAGAGAAAGAAAUAUCGACUGGCCAAAUGGAGUGUGGUUUGCCGUCCCAAAGACCAAGGCGGGUUGGGUAUUCAUGACCUUGAGGUUAAGAAUAGGGCCCUCCUCGGCAAAUGGUUGUUUAAAUUUCUGACGGAAGAA
rnacentral:rRNA from 1 species